UUCUAUUUUUUCAGAUUCAUUUUUCUCUUUCGUUGUUUUUCAAUGAAUUGUAUAAACAUUCUUUUGAAUUGUUUUAUUAAUCUCAUCCACUAUAAAUUCAUUAUGGUAUCAUUCGAGCGGGUAGCUUCACUGCGUUGAUUCUUCGAUCAGUCUUCGUCAUCUUCUUUCUUUCGCUGCUUUUUGAAUUCGUUUUUUCUUCGAUUCUUCAUCUCUGGUGGUGUUUAUCUUUCAUCUCUGGUAUUUUUCUACCUUUCUAGGUUUCUACAAUUCAAAUUUGUCGGUUAAUUUCUUUCGGUUUCCAUUUCUUUUCAUUCUUCUGAUCAAAUUGUUCGUCUGAGAGUUGUUCAUUUGGAUCUUCUUUUUCAAUUCCAAUCUUCAAAUUCGAGUUUAUUUUUCAAUUGGAUUCAUCAAUCUUCUUUUCCAAUGGAACGUCAAAUGUCGUUAAUUACUUCAACACCUUUAAAUCAAGUAGCCAUUAUAAUUCCUGUUAAGCUUCGUGAUGAUAACUUUUUGAUGUGGAAAUCAUCCUUUCUUCCAUUGUUAAAGCGCUAUAAUGCUAUUUCAUUCAUUAAUGGUACGGGACUUUGUCCUCCCCAGUUUUUUGAUCGUGUUAAUGAGAGAAACCAAACUUUUAAUCCUGCAUCCACUUUAUGGAACAAAGAUGUUCAGGCUAUAAUUCUAUGUCGACUAUCUCUGGCACUGUAUUUUGGUCAUCUAUCUGGUGCUUCCACUGCUUUUGAUCUUUAGAAACUCAUUGAGGAGAAAUUUUCUCAGACAUCUACAUCUCAAGUGAUUCAACUUCCUACCUAACUACAAACUCUCCGACAAGGUUAUCUUACUAUAUCUCAGUUUCUAUCUGAAUUGAAGAAGAUCACUGACUCUUUGGCUGCUGCUGGAUGUAUUGUUUCUGAUUUUGAACUUGUGGUCACUAUUUUGAAUGAACUUCAUCCUGAUUACGCUGCUUUUGCAACUUCAAUUCUUGUUCGAUCACCACCUGUUACUAGUCGAGAAAUACAUAAUAUCUUGCUUAGUGAGGAAAUUAUAAUGAAUGAUAGAUUCAAUGCUCUAAAAUUGUCUUCUGAAAAAGAUUUUGCUGCUAGCUCUGAUUUACAAUACACUGCUAUGGAUACUAUUCUGCACCUAGAGCUUAUAAUCCUAUUUAUGCUAGAGAAAAUAGAGGUAGAGGUCGUGGUUGGACUCCUAAGUUUAAUAGAUCUUACAAUUCUUUUCAUCAACCACUUUCAUCUCCUACUUGGAAACCAAUGCCACCUCCUCAGAGAUACUAUGCACCUCCUGAAUGCCAUCCAAUACCAACAACUCAGAAACCACCAGGCUUUGCUCACUCUUCUGCUGCUUCAGACAGACCUCCACAUCAAAUUUGUAUUAAGUUUGGUCAUACAGCUCCAACAUGUAAUCCGAGACUUAACUUUGCAUAUCAAGGAAGAGCUCCUCCACAAAAUAUCUCAGCAAUGUUAACUAGUGAUAAUGUGUUUGGUGAAAACCCAUGGUUUGUUGAUUCAGGAUAUAACAACCACACCACAGCUGAUGAGGAGUCCAUCACUAUUACUCUCCCUUCCCUGGUUCAGAUGUUAUCAAUACUGUAAAUGAAGAAAGAUCUCUCCACUAGGAGGAUUCUGUAUAAGGGAUUUCAGAGUAAUGGCUUAUAUCCCAUCCACUUCAACACCAGUUCUUAUUCACACUCUUCCAUGCAACCAUCUUCCUUUAUUUCUGCAAUUGAAGUUUGGCAUCAGAGGCUUGGACAUCCCUCCUUUCAGUCACUUCAGAGAGUUAAUAAAUAUUUUGUCCUUACUGAUUUUAAGAAUAAACCCCUAUUUCGUAAUGAUUGUCAACUAGGGUGUAGUCAUAAACAACCAUUUCAGUUAUCCAAUUCUGCCAGUCUUGCUCCUCUUAUUCUCUUACAUAUGGAUAUAUGGGGUCCAUGUAAUGUUGUGUCAUGUGAUGGUUCAAUAUAUUAUAUUGUUAUUAUUGAUGAUUAUUCAAAAUACUGCUGGUUAUUU